GCAGUGUACCCGCGGCAAGACGGAAAGACCCCGUGAACCUUUACUAUAGCUUGACACUGAACAUUGAGCCUUGAUGUGUAGGAUAGGUGGGAGGCUUUGAAGUGUGGACGCCAGUCUGCAUGGAGCCGACCUUGAAAUACCACCCUUUAAUGUUUGAUGUUCUAACGUGGACCCGUUACCCGGGUUGCGGACAGUGUCUGGUGGGUAGUUUGACUGGGGCGGUCUCCUCCUAAAGAGUAACGGAGGAGCACGAAGGUUGGCUAAUCCUGGUCGGACAUCAGGAGGUUAGUGCAAUGGCAUAAGCCAGCUUGACUGCGAGCGUGACGGCGCGAGCAGGUGCGAAAGCAGGUCAUAGUGAUCCGGUGGUUCUGAAUGGAAGGGCCAUCGCUCAACGGAUAAAAGGUACUCCGGGGAUAACAGGCUGAUACCGCCCAAGAGUUCAUAUCGACGGCGGUGUUUGGCACCUCGAUGUCGGCUCAUCACAUCCUGGGGCUGAAGUAGGUCCCAAGGGUAUGGCUGUUCGCCAUUUAAAGUGGUACGCGAGCUGGGUUUAGAACGUCGUGAGACAGUUCGGUCCCUAUCUGCCGUGGGCGCUGGAGAACUGAGGGGGGCUGCUCCUAGUACGAGAGGACCGGAGUGGACGCAUCACUGGUGUUCGGGUUGUCAUGCCAAUGGCACUGCCCGGUAGCUAAAUGCGGAAGAGAUAAGUGCUGAAAGCAUCUAAGCACGAAACUUGCCCCGA
rnacentral:rRNA from 5 species